rnacentral:rRNA from 1 species
AUUGAACGCUGGCGGCAGGCCUAACACAUGCAAGUCGAGCGGAUGAAGGGAGCUUGCUCCUGGAUUCAGCGGCGGACGGGUGAGUAAUGCCUAGGAAUCUGCCUGGUAGUGGGGGAUAACGUCCGGAAACGGGCGCUAAUACCGCAUACGUCCUGAGGGAGAAAGUGGGGGAUCUUCGGACCUCACGCUAUCAGAUGAGCCUAGGUCGGAUUAGCUAGUUGGUGGGGUAAAGGCCUACCAAGGCGACGAUCCGUAACUGGUCUGAGAGGAUGAUCAGUCACACUUGAGCUGAGACACGGUCCAGACUCCUACGGGAGGCAGCAGUGGGGAAUAUUGGACAAUGGGCGAAAGCCUGAUCCAGCCAUGCCGCGUGUGUGAAGAAGGUCUUCGGAUUGUAAAGCACUUUAAGUUGGGAGGAAGGGCAGUAAGUUAAUACCUUGCUGUUUUGACGUUACCAACAGAAUAAGCACCGGCUAACUUCGUG